GACACUUUGGCCGAGUGGUUAAGGCGACAGACUCGAAUUAGUUCAAUCUGUUGGGGUCUCCCCGCAUAGGUUCAAAUCCUGUAGGUGUCG